GAAAGAACGAAUUCUCAACAUUUGCUGCAACAUGGACGGCACUGGAGGAGAUAAUGCUAAGGAGCAGAAAAGGAAAGAGUUACAAUGUGACUUGUAUCCAAGGACAGGACAUUCUUUAGGACUUUUGGAGCCAUCAGCUUCUUUGAAGUGGGAUGGCGACUUGAAUAAGCACUUUUGACCUUGGCCCACACAUUACUCUGCUGGAAAGGAAAGACUCUGCUUUACCUUUGACUGUUCCUUUCUCCUGCGGAAACUGGUUUCUAGAGACAAAGAAGAGGCAUUCCCUAAAAGGACAUUUCAGACAUGUGUGCGGACAGCAGCGUUGUCAGUAAUGAAUACAGCUGAACGUCUAUGAGGCUGAACUAAGCUGACUGGAGUGUGAAGAUGCUGAUGCUACUUUGCUGCUGGAACAGUGAUUCUCAGAGAAAAAUACGGCUGCUAAGCAAUGAGUGAAAAAGCUAUUCCUGCCCCACCAUCAGAGACCCCGGCCUGAACAUGCACCCCCGUGAGCCACGUUGUGUCCUUGUUAAAUAGACUGGGGCUCAGACUCUGGGAAGUGCCAGCUGUGAGUCGCAUCUAAGUCUCAGGAAAGCCAGCAGGUGUAGCUUUCCCGUCUCAUGAACAAACUUGCCGCGUGCCCUACGGAGGUGGACAGGUUCUCAGUCAACUGAUGCUACAUAUAAGCAAGAGAGAUUUUAAAUGACCAAAAUACUAAGAUUGAGACCCUUAUUGAAUAAAGAUACCGGCAGCUUUGGUAAAGCCUCUGCUUUCAGUGGCCUGAUGGGUUGUGAGAUACAACGAUGCUGCAAGAUGGUGGCCCGAUAAGUGUGAUUCAGAGGACUCCUUCAGAAAAGCUUGCACGAAGCCUUGGGCAUAUUGCAACACAGUGUGCUCAGCCAGCUGUGUGUCUUCAUUUUGAAGUCUUUGGAGGAGGAAGAAUCUUUAGAGCAUAUAAUAGGUUCUGGAAAGGUGUAGCAACUAAGGAAAGAAUAUUUUUUCUCUUCUCUACAUACUGGAACAAUGUCUCCAUAAAAUGACAGAAGGCCUGGAAUUGACUUCUUUCUUGCUCUGAACCCAAACUGGUUUCAUCCACUGUCUAAUGAAGACAGGGCAUGUUGGUGGAAUGGCAAGUAGAGCAAGGUGAUCUGACCAGAAUUGGAUAGACACCCAGGGCCCUGCAGAUGUGGAAGACUUCUCCUUUCUGUAGGGGAGCCCCAGCAGCCAAGAGACUGCUCACACUGCAGGUGGCAGAUUCAAAUAGGAUGGCCUGGAGACAAGAAAAAAAAGAAAUUCCUGUUCAUUACUACUGUGUCCCUUGCCGGUGCUGGUCAUCAAAUACUUGGAUUAUCCCAGAGGGCUAUGCAUGUUGGACUCUUCACAAACACUGCUCGCUGAUAUGUUCUUAUUAGAAUUAUAUCAGUAAGGAAGGUGUGCUGUCAUCCUCAAACAAGAGCUGAAUCCUACAGAAGUCCAUCUGGAUCAUAAACAAUGUUCUGUGGAAUUUGACACAUAGGCCCAGAUGUUGAAGAGUGUGUGGGAUGUGAGAAGUCCUCCAGGAAGAUAUUUAAAAACCAACUUCCUGCCCUCAAAGAAGGCUUU